rnacentral:rRNA from 1 species
UACGGAGGGUGCAAGCGUUAUCCGGAUUCACUGGGUUUAAAGGGUGCGUAGGCGGGUUGGUAAGUCCGUGGUGAAAUCCCCAGCUUAACUUGGGGAACUGCCGUGGAUACUAUCAAUCUUGAAUAUCGUGGAGGUAAGCGGAAUAUGUCAUGUAGCGGUGAAAAUGCUUAGAUAUGACAUAGAACACCAAUUGCGUAGGCAGCUUACUACACGAUCAUUUGACGCUGAGGCACGAAAAGCGUGGGGGAGCAAAACAGG